GAUGAACGUUGGCGGCGUGCCUAAUACAUGCAAGUCGAACGAAACUUCUUUAUCACCGAGUGCUUGCACUCACCGAUAAAGAGUUGAGUGGCGAACGGGUGAGUAACACGUGGGCAACCUGCCCAAAAGAGGGGGAUAACACUUGGAAACAGGUGCUAAUACCGCAUAACCAUAGUUACCGCAUGGUAACUAUGUAAAAGGUGGCUAUACUACCGCUUUUGGAUGGGCCCGCGGCGCAUUAGCUAGUUGGUAGGGUAAAGGCUUACCAAGGCAAUGAUGCGUAGCCGAAUUGAGAGGUUGAUCGGCCACAUUGGGACUGAGACACGGCCCAAACUCCUACGGGAGGCAGCAGUAGGGAAUCUUCCACAAUGGGCGAAAGCCUGAUGGAGCAACGCCGCGUGGGUGAAGAAGGUCUUCGGAUCGUAAAACCCUGUUGUUAGAGAAGAAAGUGCGUGAGAGUAACUGUUCACGUUUCGACGGUAUCUAACCAGAAAGCCACGGCUAACUACGUG
rnacentral:rRNA from 1 species